GACGAACGCUGGCGGCGUGCUUAACACAUGCAAGUCGAACGGUGACGAGGAGCUUGCUCCUCUGAUCAGUGGCGAACGGGUGAGUAACACGUGGGAAUCUGCCCUUUGCUUCGGAAUAACAGUUAGAAAUGACUGCUAAUACCGGAUAAUGUCUUCGGACCAAAGAUUUAUCGGCAAAGGAUGAGCCCGCGUAGGAUUAGCUUGUUGGUGAGGUAAAGGCUCACCAAGGCGACGAUCCUUAGCUGGUCUGAGAGGAUGAUCAGCCACACUGGGACUGAGACACGGCCCAGACUCCUACGGGAGGCAGCAGUGGGGAAUAUUGGACAAUGGGCGAAAGCCUGAUCCAGCAAUGCCGCGUGAGUGAUGAAGGCCUUAGGGUUGUAAAGCUCUUUUACCAGGGAUGAUAAUGACAGUACCGUAGGAAGUAAGACUCCGGUCCGUAACUAACCGUCGUCCGACCGACGACGACCGCCCGGGUAAACGGUAAACGGUAACGGUUAACGUAACCUACGUAAGAACCG
rnacentral:rRNA from 1 species